rnacentral:lncRNA from 1 species
UGUGCUUGGGCUGUGGGAUGGAAAUCCUAUGAAAUCAGAUUGUUAUGAUCAUUAUACAACUACAGAUGUGAUAAAUUCAUUUGAGUAAAAAAAAUGAAAAAAAAAAACCAAUUUAGUAAAUACCAACAGGAGUUUGUUGUCACUCUUCCACCUGAUAUAAUAGCUCAUCUCAUUAGUGUGUGAAAAAACGACUCAAUAGUGUGUAUUAGUGCAGAACAUAUUUCAUGUUUAAUAAUUGGUUAAUAGUCAAAUUCUUGCUAUUCUACCAAAAUUGUUUUUAUUUUUAUGCUUUCUGAUGGAAUAGAGAUACUUUAGGAUAUCAAAAAAUCUCACUGAGAUGGAAUGGCAAUAGGUCAGAAUAUCCAAAAACUGAUUCAGUCAGUUCUUUCAAAAUGUUUAAAGUGCUUGACUCAUUAAAAGAAGUUCUCCAUUUUUAAAAAAUGUAAUUCAGAUUUUAAUAUUGCUCUGAAAUCUCUAUAAUUAUUUUAUGUCCCAAAUUUAUUUGCUUUCUAUAUUGCAAUUUUCUAAAAUAAUUAUUCUGUCAUUUUGCAAUCAAGAAGAACAUUUCAGUGUGUCAUAAUAUAAUCAUAAACUGGAUAAGGACUAGGCCUAUCCUAUGUUUCUCUUAUUCUUUAAGUAGGUUUAGAUUAUUGCUGAUGAGGUUAAUUUCACAUACUUGUCAACAGUGAAUUGCCAGACAGGUUUAUGGGAUGGAGAUGCUUACAUACCAUUCAGGGACGUUGAUUACAGAGUGAUAUGAAAUGUAUUUGCAAUAUAUUCUUAGUUAUUUUUAUCUGCUAAGCUUAUAGACCUGUAAAUAAAAGUGGCAGUUUUCCCCAAAGAAUUAAAUUUCAGCUUAUGAGUUUAUUUUAUGGAGCCUCUAUUCUACCUGUACAAGUACUUCAAGUGGUAACACAGGCAAAUACAAAGCAUCCCAUUUUAUUUUAUUAGUGCAUUUUACAACAAUUCUGCAGAUACACAAGCUUCAGAGAUCGUAAACACCCAAGGUCUUGAAGACUUUACCCUCCGAUAAAGUGCAUUUUUGAAAAGUGGUGCUGCCUUCCAACCUAUAAAUACACUGCUACCCUUGAGGGAGCAAAGAUUUAUCUCUUCUCAAUUUACAAGUAAAUCCAUUGUUAACCCACCUCACCUCUUCACCAAUAAAGGGCUGAUUUAUGAUCAGCGGUCAAUGAGGCCAUCUGAGGCAAUUUCUACUAAGGCUAAGAAAACAAAGUACAUGAAAACCUAGUAAAUUGUGCAUCAUUUAAUGUAGAUUAAAUGAUGUGAGCUGUAUUAUACUGUACAGCAUCAGUCCUAAGGAAGCACUUGAUUGUUGUGUACUAUACCACCAUAACAAGAAUAAUGACGCAAGCCAGUAUUAUUCCCCUAACAGAAUGCUGUUCUUGAUGCUUGGGGAUUGUGGCUGUGCCACAGUUGUCUCUCAGAUAAGCCUGCUGAAUUCCUAUUUAUAAACAGUCACUUGCCCAUUGUUCCCUGCAUUUCCUUCCAAAUAAUUUUGGAAUCUAUUUUAUUAUUUACAUGAAUAUAUUAUCCCAUGCUAAAGAACAACAGCAACACAUCAAAAUAAAUAGCACAUUAUAUGUUUAUAAAGAGGAAAUGUGAAAAUAAAUAAAUAGAAAUAAGGAUGGUUCUCAUGGCUAACAGAAAACCUUCUUGAUAAUAGCAAGUGUAGUGUGUGGAAUUUGGCUACAUCUCAAAUUCUCUACCACCUCUCCCUUUAAACACUCAUUCCCUGGGGUAUAAAGAGUAAUUGUCUUUUCUUAAGACAUAUUUAUUUCCUGGGGUAAAAAUACCUUCAGUAGUCCUCUUUCAUAGAGGGCAAGCAGGCAAAGAACCAUGAGGAGGCUUUUUAUGUGACCCUAAUACAUCAUGGCCAAAGGAUCUUAUAAUAUGAGACCUGGGAUAGAUCAUAGUGAGCACUUUCCAGUGCUGAAUGAGAAAAGAAAAUUGAGGAAUAAUGCAUCCUGUAUCCUCUUCUGGGAUAUUUGUAAAACACCUUAACAUUUAAAUCCUAUGAGAAAUUAUGCCAAAGAGAAUUAUAUUCAACUUUACAUGACCCACCCUUCCUCACAUGUACUACAUUGUAAAUUUUUGUUGUUAGGUUGAAAUAAAAUUGAUUCACACAUUAGUAAUGUUACUCUACUCCAACCACUCUUAAAAUGAGAAAACAGAGAUCCAAGGAGGUAAAUAUGACCAUAGUCUCUCUAUUGUAACCUAAACUAGACCUGGGAUCUGUGGAUCACCAAUUCAGUGCAUCUUGGGGCUCUUCUAAAAACUUUGUGAAAAGAUUGUGUUAGAGAUAAGAUCAGGGAAAACUAUAGAAAAAGAGAGAAACAUGCCAUUGCUCAAUAUUUUGAGAAACUUAGUUUGUUAAUAACAUUUUAUUUCUUUAUACUGUUAUAUAAAAUGGUUUGAAAUGUAUUACCUCAUUUAUCUACGUUCGCCUGACAAUAAGGUGUUAUUCUUAGUGAAUUCAUAUCCUGAGAUGUGAAUUUUUCAUUUUUAAAAUUGGAAAAAAUAAAUUGUAUUUUUUUUAAUAUUAGUUUGUUCCAGCUGCCAUAACAAAAUACCAUGGACUGGGUGGCUUAAAUAAGAGAAAUGUAUUUUCUCAAAGUUCUGGAGGCUGGAAGUCCAAGGUCAAGGUGUUGGCAGGGUUGAUUUCUGAUGGAGCCUCUUCCUGGCUUGUAGACAGUAGCUUUCUCACUGUGUCCUUAAAUGGCCUUUAAUCUCUGUGUCAUACCCUUGCUCUCUCUUUUCUUAUAUGGGUAUCAGUCCUAUUGGAUUAGAGCUCAAUCAUGAUCUCAUUUAACCUGAAUUACCCCUUUAAAGGCUUUUUCUCCAGGGAAGGAUCAGGAUGGUGGAGGAGUAAGAUGUGGUACUCACCUUCUCCCACAAACACAUCUAUCUAUCUAUCUAUCUAUCUAUCUAUCUAUCUAUCUAUCUAUCUAUCUAUCUAUCUAUCUAACAAUUCCCACAGAACAUCUACCGAAUGCUUGCUGACAGAGGACCUUAAACCUACAAAAAAUCAAGAAACCCUCCAUGUAACAAAAGGAAAAAAAACAGAGAGAGAUAAAAAAGGAAUCAGGACGGGACUAGCACUCCUGAGAGGGAGCUGUUAAAGAGGAAAGAAACCCACACCCUGGGAAGCCACCUAACCAAUGGCGAGAUCAGCCAAGAUUUAGGGACCUCAAAGUCAUGGAGGAAAGCACAGCAGCUGGACUGAGGAGAGCAAAGCAGAAUGAGAGCUGCAUAGACCAUCUCCACCACCAUCCCCAGAUACCACAGCCAGAGAUACUUGGGAGGGGACUGUGUCCUGAGACUCAGGCUCUAGAGGUCAGUAACAGGGAGGGGACUAGGGUUGGCUGUGUGGUGACAGCCUGAGGGGCUAGGGAGUGGGGUGGGCUGCCAUAGGAAUCUCUUUCCCUGUGCAUGUGCUGACUCCCAGAGGGCAGGGCACAUCUGGCACAGGCUACAGGUGGUUAGGUGCCACUUGCUUGGGCUACAGAUGACCAGGCACCUCUUGUGUGGGCUACAGGUGGCUGAGUACCUCUUGUGUGGGCUAAGGGUAGUGGGGAGCUAAGCACAAUGUGGCACCUCUUGUGUGACCUACAGUGGCAGGGACGAACCACAGCAAUCAUCUCAGACACCAGAGGGAGGCAUGGCCCACCAACACUAGGGGUCUGUGAACAGGCACCACCUGCAGCUCCAGUCACCUCAGAGUUUGGCAAAAAGUGGGCACUACAACCAAGCACCACAGGGUGUUGUUCUCACUCCUCUGGGAACACAUCUGCCCUGCUGCUGCCACUACCAAAUGUUCUGGGAACUACCUACACAUGCCUGAUGACUGUCACGUCACAGGACCCUGCAACUAGGAGCAGCCUGCACAGCAUUUCCUGCAUGGCUAAAUGGGAUGAGGUGUUUCUUGCAUGGCCUACAGGUGGUGGAGGCAAACCACCAUAGUGAUCUCUGACUCCAGAGGUAGGUGUGACCUGCCACCAAAAAGAGUCUAUGAAUAGGCAUCACUUAUGGCCCCAAUCAUCUCAGGGGGCACCAGAAGAGGGCAUUGAAACUAAGCACAACAUUGUUGUGAGACGUGUUUCUACAGUAUCUUCUUAGCAUCUUUGCUGAAAACUCCAUCUUGUCCUGCUUUACUUUACCCCAUAUUUCUGCUUGAAAAAGUCACAAGUGCUGGUGAAUGACUUAAGCUUAAGCACAAAGACCUAAAGGCAUAAGUUAUUCAUAGGGUCAGCUGAAUGAGGACAUGAUGCAUUGGUCUAGGCACCCUGGACAUGUGCAGAUUGGCAUGCUGUUUGCACAGCAUGAUAUGUCCUCUAAAGAAUAAGAGAAACAAGAGACACAUGACCCCAAGGGGUUUAUGAGAGGUCGUUAGCAGGAUAUGCAUUAGCAAGGAGAACCGAGGUGCAAACCUAGGCAUGCCAGGUUGCUGUAGAUAGGCACGCCAUCUGCAGAAGCACAAUGGUGUUCCUCUAGAUGCUAUGCAUAGAUAGCUGAGGCCAAGCUUCCUCAAACUCUAAUGAUUGUUAAAUGCCUAAAGGUCAGAAUAAAAGCUUAAUCAGCAAACAGCUAAGUGACUUUUAAAAUAAUUAAAAAAAAAACCUAUAUCCUGCACCUACAACCCCCUCCUCACAUGACAUAAUCCUCAAGAGCACAAUAAAAGCAGUGUGGUUUCUUGAGGCAGUGCUCUUGGUCCCUGAGACCUUGAAUCCCCUGGUCCCCACCUUUACUUAAGAUAAAUGUCUCUGUGUCUUGUUUUAUGUUAACUUUUUUCCUUAAGUUUUACAGCACCUGUUCUUCAGCCCCAUCCUGCUGAGCUGGUCUCAGCACAACCUAUUGUUGUGUUUACACCCCUGGGAAUUCACACACCCUGCCACUACCAGUGCCAAAUGCUCCAGGCACCUCCUAAAUCUGCUUGAGGCUCAUUACCAUGCCCCAGGGCCCUGCAACUAGGAGUAGCCUGCAACAACUUCCUACAAGUCCUUGCUACUGUCAAGACCCCAGCAACCAGGCACUGACUACUACCCCUUUCCAUUGCCUCCUUCUCCCUAGAAACACAUGUAGCACCCUAUCAAGGGGAUAAAAUUUGCUCACACUGAGGAAAGAGACAUCAAAUAUCCAAACUCCCACACUAAAAAUAAAUAGUAAACCCCCACAAAAUACAAAGGGAAUACAGAGGGGGUGCUCUUGCAUAGAAAUUGACCUCCAAGACUACCGUAGCUGGUUUCUCCAAACUCACACAGAAUCAGAAAAAUACAAAUGAAAUGAAGAAACAGAGGAACCAUUUCCAAUUAAAAGAACAGGAGAAUUCUUUUAAAGUGAAAGCAGCAAACAGUGAAACAGACCUCUGCAGUCUAAUAGAGUUCAAAAAGGAAAAGGUGAAAUUAUUGAAGGGAUUAAAGGUGAACAUGAAGGAAUUAAGAGCAGAUGUAAAUAGUAAUGUAGAUUACUUCAGAAAAGAACUAGAAAAUUUAUGGAGGAG